UGGGGAAUAUUGCACAAUGGGGGAAACCCUGAUGCAGCGACGCCGCGUGAAGGAUGAAGUAUUUCGGUAUGUAAACUUCUAUCAGCAGGGAAGAAAAUGACGGUACCUGACUAAGAAGCCCCGGCUAACUACGUGCCAGCAGCCGCGGUAAUACGUAGGGGGCAAGCGUUAUCCGGAUUUACUGGGUGUAAAGGGAGCGUAGACGGUAUGGCAAGUCUGAUGUGAAAGGCCAGGGCUCAACCCUGGGACUGCAUUGGAAACUGUCGAACUAGAGUGUCGGAGAGGCAAGUGGAAUUCCUAGUGUAGCGGUGAAAUGCGUAGAUAUUAGGAGGAACACCAGUGGCGAAGGCGGCUUGCUGGACGAUGACUGACGUUGAGGCUCGAAAGCGUGGGGAGCAAACA
rnacentral:rRNA from 1 species